AUGUUUUUCUCAAACUCUUUCAGCUUGAAAUAUUUGAUAUGCCAAGGUGCCGUAUUUUGGAGCAGAGUGUCCAGAACCCAUCACCUGCCACCCCAGCUGGAAGGAGCAUUAAGGACUUCUGUUCUGUUGCGUGUUUGCAGAGGAGUGGAAAAAACUGUUGGUGCCCUUCCCCCAUCGCUAUCAUCAGCUGAUCCCGCUGAGGGAGGGACAGCCUUCGGGAAGCCAGAGCCCAGGGAGAAUAAGCACGUUGUCCACGUUGACACCGUCAGUCUGAGUUGGAGGACUCAUCCAAGGUGGCAAAGUAGCAUCAGGAUCCAGUUUUUUGACUCUAGUCAGCCCUCUGUCCGUGACCCGAGGAGACUCUCAGGGCUGGAAAGAGGGCAUCUGCUGUCUGUCUGUAACUGCUAUGAUUUAGAUGGCCUGUCUAUGAACUGGGUUGAAGGUGUGAUGUAG
rnacentral:lncRNA from 1 species